ensembl:lncRNA
UUUUUUUCAAUUUCAAGUUUAAUUUUAUUUUAGCUGAUCUGAUGUGGUUUCAACUAACCCAAGGUCUCACCAUGUUAAAAUGCCGGCGGACUCUACGGCGUUUUGUAGAUUCCCCCCCCCCCCCCCCCACUGUGAAGGGGUGCCAUACUACCUUAAAUGCUAAUGCUAGAUAUGCAAAACUGGAUUUUUUUAAUUUAUUUUUUAAAAGAGGGAGGCAUGGUAUAUUAAAAUGAUUUUACUAAGAGAAAAAUAUUUUUUUAAGAAUGCUCAGAAGAAAUUGAUAAUCUGUGUGAAUAUGUUUUAGAUGUUUAUAUACCUUUUGAAGAGACCCAGUAGCCCAUAGCACAAAUCUUGUGGAAAUCCGAUAUGUUUUAAUGUGGCUACCUAGGUUUAAGGUUCACGUUAGUCCCCCCAUCCAUCUAGAAGUCCAUUUUGAAAGAUUUUUGUAAAUUCUUUUAGCACUGAUGUUCAGCCUUGUCUUUGUUUCAGUUAAGCUCAAUGGCGAACAUGGGAACCACCUUUCACCUUCCCUGGGGGAGAAACCCUCUUGGCUGAUGGCUUUUCCCCGGAAUUAUCAAACAGCCACCGGGUGACUUUCUGGCUUCCAGAUCCAUCUGCCUGAGACCCCCGAACUCCUCUCCUCCCAAGCAGAGGCGAGUGAGUGGCAUUAGCUCCCGGACCCAUUCCCGGUUCUAGCUGGGCAUGGGGCUGACGGAUAUGACCAAGCCUUGGUCUGCUCUCUAGCAGCUUCCACAGACUUGGCUCGUGGCCUUCCUCAUAUCCAUUGGGAAAACCAAACAGCCUCGCGCUCUAUCCCAGUCGCCCAUUAGCUUGAUUCAAACGAAGCCCCAACAGGCCUUUGCGUUUUUAUCCUUCAUAACCUUCAUCUUAAUUUGAACUUGUAGCUUGGACUUUAAGGUAGCAUGGCUCUAUUGCUGUCAAUUUACUGUUUCACUGCACAGCAAUCACAGCCAGUGAAUGUUACACACAUCUUGCUAGACUAGUAUAAAAAUCAUUGGGUAAUUGUUGGUUCUAAUGACCUGAAAGGUGUUCAGUUUUUGUUCUUGGUUUUGUUUUGUUUUUGAUUUCUUGGGGGUGGGUUUUGCUUGUUGUUCUUUUUCAUUUGGGGAUUUUGGGGGAAAAAAUUUUAUUUUUGGUUCCAAAUAGAAAAACAAAACCUAUUUUGAUCUUUAGUGCAAACGAGGGCUAGGGACUUAGCCUCCUCCACCACCUCCACACUGCUUCAUUCUGCCAUUCACUCACUGCAGCAUAUUCAAGAAUAAAGCAAUAUCGUUUACUACAUUUUUUAUUGAAGGUCAGCCAUGCUUUCUGUAUUAUAUUGCAUAUGAAAUUGUUUACAAAAGAAACACUAACUCAUACUUCUUUUUAUCGGUUGCAAGUGGCACGCAGGGACAGAGGGAGAGUGGGGGGCUGGUAGGGGAAGGGAGAUUUUUUUUUUUUUUUUCUUGAAUGUGCUUCACAAGCCAGGCUAUCUUCCAAGGGAGGCAGACAGUGGGUAGAGCAGAGGGACUGACUGCAGGCAAGCACAUUGAAGAAAGACACUGGCGGGUUUCCCCACCCUCACCCCAAAGCAGACAACUAGCAGACGUCAGCUUAGCCCUGUCCUGGGCACAGACACUACACAAGGAGACGCUGGAAGUUAAGCAAUACUUUAAUACUGUAAUAUGUUUGUUUUCUUUUUCUUUUUUUUUUUUUCCACCAAAAAAAAGUAAGUAAACUAAAACACAAAAACAUAUAAAUAAAAUCCACCCCUCUUGUCGGGGGCUGGGGGGGCAACCUUAAUCCAAACACCUGGCUAUCAAAUAAUCAGAAUGUAUUGUCUCAGACAGGAUUUCAGUUCCGGGAGGCAGGGGCAUGAUGGGGGAGGGGGCUGGAGGCUGAGAGACAAAAGUUCCAGAGCCUCCCUCGAAGGUUCUCUACUACUGUAUUCUGUACAUAAUGUACCAUCGCGUGUGGAAUCUGUGAGUGUCCUCUUAAGUAGCGUGGGCUAGCCAAUCUGCCGUUCAUGGUGUAUUGUAAACUCCGAAUUCCAUAUGUAAUAGGAUGCAAGUCUAAGCGUUUCAUGUGGACAUAAAUGUAUCUAAAUAAAACUUUCCCUAGCACUGUGGCUGACCUCACCCUUACUUUUAUACUUUAGUAUGAAACUGAUGAGAACUUUGGUAGUGAGUAUUUUUUUUAUAUAUAUACAUAUAUAUGUAUCUAUCUAUAUAUAUAUCUCAAGCAUCUUUCAGGUCUUUGUGUGUGGCUUUCUUAAAGCCCUGUUGUAAAAAAUUACUAUGUGGAUGGCAGUCUCUCACAUCACAGAUGUGGAAAGUAUAAUUUUAUAUUUGUAUUUUCAAAUAAAUAAGUUUGUGAAAGGUUUCCAUCCUCUACUGUGGUCCAGAAAUCAAUGUGUUUGUCUGACAAAAAAAAAA